GCGAAGAGCGCGACACUUCACACUCUCACUCCAACCGACUUCAACACAACAACACAAAAAUAAUGUCUAUUGGCCGGAAAAACUGGUCUGCUUUGUCAACGCUGGCUCGACAGUGGACUGUGGAGGAUGAGGAAGAGGUGGAGAGAGAGAAGAGGAGGAAGACAAGGGAGUCUACGGCAGACACGGAUGAAAGUCCCAUUGAAGAGAACAAACCACAAACCAGUAGUGUUACCGAGCCUGCUGAUGCUGGCGACUCCGGUGGCGGUCUGGCCCAGCUGCAGCUGGAUUUUGUGGAGAUGUUGCGAGUCCGUGACGAACGGCGGAGGAUGAGGCACGUUGAAACCCUGAGGAAGAAUAAGGAGGAAGAUGAUGAUGGCAGAGAGGGUAGCCCGGAUAAGGUGCCCCAUGUGGAGCUGCUGGGGGAACAGCAGGACGAGGAGCUCUUCAAGAGCGUGCAGCGCUGCGUGGAGACCUUCAUGUCACCAGAACCUCCCGCCAACUCCAGAGACUCAGAGACACAGGAGAAGAACGAAAAUGGAGGCCCGAACCAAGAUUCAACAAACUCCCAAACUCCCCCGAAAGCAUCCCGAAAGUUUGUGAGCUCUCUCUCCGUCUCCUUUGAUAAGAGUCCCACAUCACCCUCAGCAACCAGCAGACUGGUUUCUCCUCUGAGCCACAAGUCUCCACCCCCUCAGUCUCCGAGGGCGGAGUCACCACACAGCCCCGCCCACUCCGGGUCUAUGAGCCCCACACCGAAUGGAGACACAGCGACACAUGAAAAUGGGUCACCGAGCAAUUUCGAACCAGCUGCGAAACCUGCGUUCACACGGCAGAGCUCCAGAACGGUGUCCUUCAGGG
ensembl:lncRNA